rnacentral:rRNA from 1 species
GCUGGCGGCGUGCCUAACACAUGCAAGUCGCACGAGAAAGUGGAGCAAUCCAUGAGUACAGUGGCGUACGGGUGAGUAACACGUGACUAACCUACCCUCGAGUGGGGAAUAACUUCGGGAAACCGAGGCUAAUACCGCAUAACAUCUUCUGGCUGAGAUGCCGGUUGAUCAAAGCAGCAAUGGGCUUGAGGAGGGGGUCGCGGCUGAUUAGCUAGUUGGUGAGGUAACGGCUCACCAAGGCGAUGAUCAGUAGCCGGCCUGAGAGGGCGCACGGCCACACUGGAACUGAAACACGGUCCAGACUCCUACGGGAGGCAGCAGUGGGGAAUUUUGCGCAAUGGGGGAAACCCUGACGCAGCAACGCCGCGUGGAGGAUGAAGUCCCUUGGGACGUAAACUCCUUUCGAUCGGGACGAUAAUGACGGUACCGGAAGAAGAAGCCCCGGCUAACUUCGUGCCAGCAGCCGCGGUAAUACGAGGGGGGCAAGCGUUGUUCGGAAUUAUUGGGCGUAAAGGGCGCGUAGGCGGUGCGGUAAGUCUGAUGUGAAAUCUCCGGGCUCAACUC